GACAAGCAAUGGACUUUGCAUUUAGUCAUUUUUUCUGUAGGCUCUGUGCAGAAGUGGAAUUUUACAUAGUACAGGGAGCAAUCCAGUGAGCAUGAGAAGUGUGUGAAUUAUAGUGAUGUACUACUGAAUGGGAAUUCAGCUAAUUUCUUUUUUUUUUUUUUUCUGGGAGUGAAAAAAAAAGCAUAGAAUAGUUUUAUUAGAAAAUGACUGGAGUAAGGAGAACAGCCCUAAAGAAAGAAUCUCCUGAGAUGGAAUUAUUUAUUUCUGAAUAAGGGGUGAGAGACUGAUAACACCAGUGGAAACCAAGUAAAACUCAACAGAGACCAAGAAAGAAGUGCUUCAAUCUGAAUUGCCUGUAUCAUCCUUGACAAUGUCUUUAUGUUAUGUUCAUGGGACAUCAACUAAUUCUUGGACAAGAGGGGGAGGGAAGAUAACAGAAACAUGCUAGUAACGCAGCACUUGAAAACAGGCCUGGUAAAACCAGCGUGCUACUGUGCCAGUGCUGAGUGGAAUCUAAAUUUAGGGAUGCAUGUGAUUUCCUGGGCAUAGUGUCAUGGGAAUGCUGCCUGAGAACUGGAAGAGGAAGGUUCUCUAAGAGUUUCUUUUCCAUGUUGUUCCAGAUGCUCCAUGUGCUUAUGGAAACACUGACUCUGGAAGGAACUGUCAGCUCAUACUAUCCCCCCUGAGAAACCGAGGAUCUUUUGUUUUGUUUUGUUAUUUUCUUCUGUUGGUGGCCUGAAACUUCAAACUCUUGAUUAAAUUUUGAGUGGAAUAUCACAAGACAGCAGUGCUUUUUGGAAAGAGCAAAACCACCAUGAAAUAAGAGAGCAAUGAUCUGUUCUUUUCCCUUCUUACCAGAUGAGUACAAAGCAUUUUGUUUUCAAAAAUAUAUGAAAGAUCAAUUCACAUGCACACAUUUCAAUGUAAUUUAUUGCAUACUACUAGAAUAUAGUGCACAAAUUGGCAUUUUUUUACACAACCACCCCUUUUCCCGAAGAUUUACUGUGGAAUUAAAGGAAGACAAAAUUGUAAUGACAAGACGAGAAAAGCUGAGAUUUAAUAAAUCAAUAUGCUGUUUUCCUAAGACCUCAUAAAUGCAGCAGAACGUAAUUUCUACUGGGCAUCAUAUACUAUCCAGGAAAAGCUUUCUAUUUGAAAGCAUAAAAUAAUUUAGAAAUGUUAGAAACAUCUAGCACAUAUAUUGCCAGUAUUUUCACCUUAUCAAAAAUCAAGGAUGGUCCAAGGUUACGUAAGAAAGCAGUGGCAAAAUAGGGCAAUAGGGAAAACAUCUCAAACCAGAAAAAGAAUAGAACCUUUUUAGUCUUUACCAGCUACAUGUUUUCAUAUCUAGUGUCAGAAUAUCAGUGAGUUGGAAAGACUAGUGUCUAAAUAGACUGGUAUAAUGAAUUUUCUGUGUGACAACCAUUCUGUUUUUUCUUAUGGUUUUACCUUUUUUUCGGAGCUGGUUGCUUCUGUCAAGCACUGGGCUAGUCCUUUCAAUGUUCUAUAAAGUACAUUUCUCAAUUAACAAGUGCUUGUAAUUGUUCCGUAUUAUGAGAAAUUAUACUACCUUCAACUAUAUAAUAAGAAUCUUUUGUUUCAAUCUGUCUUUUCAACUGUUCAGUGAUAUUUAGUCGUGUAACAGUGAUAUAGGUAUGCAAGCAUUAGAAAGUCACAGAAAGGUGUUUCUUCAGCUAUUUCAGAGAUUUAAAUUUCCCUGCCUAGUACUCUUUUUCUGUUCUGAUGUUGUGCCAAGUAUUCCCACAAAUUACUAAAUUAUUUUUCCCACGGGUGAGAUAAAGCUUCACAGUUUAGGGUUCCUGAAGGAUAUUUUCUCAUUUGUGGUAACCACAGAAUAACACACUAUAACAGCUUUUCACAGCAGCAUUUUUAUAAGUAAUUCUUCAUCAGUUUCUCCAAACCACUUGCAUGAACAAUAUUGUGUAUUAUUGUAUCCUAGUGACUGGCCUUGAGCCUUAAAGUGAAUUAAGUUGGAUGAUUUUGAGCAGAUAAUCUGCCCCCUCAAUUUGUUUGCCAAAUAGGUGUCUAAUUUACAUUCACAAUUACCUCAAUUGCAUGCACAAAUGAGCUAAUGAAACACACAAAUGUGUAACUGGUCAUAAAUAGUAAUUUCCAUGUGCGAUUGCAGUAAUUGCAUGCUGCUCAUAAUUUUGAAAAUCAAGAACUUAAUGUUAAUUUGACGCUAAUUCAUGUUGUAUAACAGUUAUAUUUAAAGAUUACGUUUAUCACUCAACAAAUGCAGCAGUCUUCUUCUAUUAUGUCUCUUGUCCAUUAUGGUUAAUUGGUGGAUAACAGUGUUUAACAUUGCAGGGACUUUUUCUUGAUAAGCAGGGAUCAAAUAUUUCCCUAAACCAAGCAGGACUGCAGAUCUAUUUAUAUACUAUAUUGUGUUGCAAUACCCACAGUUUUAUACUCCUAUAAACAGUAUGUUUAGAAAUAUUAAUUUGAGGUAAAAGAGAUUUUGGGUAAAGAGAUAAUAAGCCACAUUAUGGAAAUAUAUAAUUUAACUCUUUGUUUUAGUGAGAGGUUCUGCCAAAAUCUAACUCAUUUUCUGUUUCCAAACGCAGGCAACUCUUACAGCUCUUGUUACUUUUUCUGCUGCCAUCCCAUCUGUUUUUCUCUCAGACUGCAAUUGCUUUCUGGAAAACAUAGAACUAGGACUUCUAUGAGAGAGAUUAGCAAGUGGAUGGUGUGACUGAAUGCCUCUAAAAUAUUACAGAAAAACUGCUAUAUAAUUACAUGAAAAGACACACAUUUUGUACUAUUAAAUUGUAUGGUGUAAAGACCAAGAAUGUAUAUUACUGUAGUAGUGCUAAGUCAUUGGACAUAGUCCAUUUUAAAACUAAAAUGCAUGUUUCAAAAGUUUUACUCAUAUCAGUAGAGUGUAAACAAUAUAAUUCUAUUGUAA